rnacentral:tRNA from 1 species
CGGAUACUAGUGUAUGGGGUAGCACGUGUCGUUUGGGGCGAUUUAGGCGGAGUUCGAGUCUCCGGUAUCCGAC